GACGAACGCUGGCGGCGUGCUUAACACAUGCAAGUCGAACGGAAAGGCCCUGCUUUUGUGGGGUGCUCGAGUGGCGAACGGGUGAGUAACACGUGAGUAACCUGCCCUUGACUUUGGGAUAACUUCAGGAAACUGGGGCUAAUACCGGAUAGGAGCUCCUGCUGCAUGGUGGGGGUUGGAAAGUUUCGGCGGUUGGGGAUGGACUCGCGGCUUAUCAGCUUGUUGGUGGGGUAGUGGCUUACCAAGGCUUUGACGGGUAGCCGGCCUGAGAGGGUGACCGGCCUCAUUGGGACUGAGAUACGGCCCAGACUCCUACGGGAGGCAGCAGGGGGGAAUAUUGCACAAUGGGCGGAAGCCUGAUGCAGCAACGCCGCGUGCGGGAUGACGGCCUUCGGGUUGUAAACCGCUGUCGCCUGUGACGAAGCGUGAGUGACGGUAAUGGGUAAAGAAGCACCGGCUAACUACGUG
rnacentral:rRNA from 1 species